CCUACGGGUGGCAGCAGUGGGGAAUAUUGCACAAUGGGGGAAACCCUGAUGCAGCGACGCCGCGUGAGUGAAGAAGUAAUUCGUUAUGGAAAGCUCUAUCAGCAGGGAAGAAAAUGACGGUACCUGAGUAAGAAGCACUGUCUAACUACGUGCCAGAAGCCAUGGUAAAACGUAGGGGGCAAGCGUUAUCCGGAUUUACUGGGUGUAAAGGGAGCGUAGACGGCAGUGCAAGUCUGCAGUGAAAGGCGGGGGCUCAACCCCCGGACUGCUCUGGAAACUGUACGGCUGGAGUGCAGGAGAGGUAAGUGGAAUUCCUAGUGUAGCGGUGAAAUGCGUAGAUAUUAGGAGGAACGCCAGUGGCGAAGGCAGCUUACUGGACUGUAACUGACGUUGAGGCACGAAAGCGUGGGGAGCGAACAGGAUUAGAUACCCCAGUAGUC
rnacentral:rRNA from 1 species